rnacentral:rRNA from 1 species
UGGGGAAUAUUGGACAAUGGGCGCAAGCCUGAUCCAGCAAUGCCGCGUGUGUGAAGAAGGCCUUCGGGUUGUAAAGCACUUUUAUCAGGAGCGAAACGCUGUCGGCUAAUACCCGGCGGAACUGACGGUACCUGAGGAAUAAGCACCGGCUAACUUCGUGCCAGCAGCCGCGGUAAUACGAAGGGUGCAAGCGUUAAUCGGAAUUACUGGGCGUAAAGCGUGCGUAGGCGGUUUCUUAAGUCUGCUGUGAAAUCCCCGGGCUCAACCUGGGAAUGGCAGUGGAUACUGGGAGGCUAGAGUGUGUCAGAGGGUGGUGGAAUUCCCGGUGUAGCGGUGAAUGCGUAGAGAUCGGGAGGAACAUCAGUGGCGAAGGCGGCCACCUGGGACAACACUGACGCUGAGGCACGAAAGCGUGGGGAGCAAACAGGAUUAGAUACCCUGGUAGUCCACGCCCUAAAGCGAUGCGACUGGAUGUUGGUCUCAACUCGGAGAUCAGUGUCGAAGCUAACGCGUUAAG